UACGGAGGAUGCGAGCGUUAUCCGGAUUUAUUGGGUUUAAAGGGUGCGUAGGCGGACGCUUAAGUCAGCGGUAAAAUUGCGGGGCUCAACCUCGUCGAGCCGUUGAAACUGGGUGUCUUGAGUGGGCGAGAAGUACGCGGAAUGCGUGGUGUAGCGGUGAAAUGCAUAGAUAUCACGCAGAACUCCGAUUGCGAAGGCAGGGUACCGGCGCCCAACUGACGCUGAAGCACGAAGGCGUGGGUAUCGAACAGG
rnacentral:rRNA from 1 species